rnacentral:rRNA from 1 species
AUACGAAUGAGGCAAGCGUUGUUCGGAAUCAUUGGGCUUAAAGCGCGCGUAGGCGGGCCGUUAAGUGUCCUGUGAAAGCCCCCGGCUCAACCGGGGAAUUGCGGGGCAAACUGGCGGUCUCGAGGCAAGUAGGGGUGCGUAGAACUCUAGGUGGAGCGGUGAAAUGCGUAGAUAUCUAGAGGAAUGCCAGCAGAGAAAUCGGCGCACUGGGCUUGUUCUGACGCUGAGGUGCGAAAGCGUGGGUAGCGAACGGGAUUAGAAACCCGAGUAGUCC